rnacentral:rRNA from 1 species
AAAGAAACCAACAGGGAUUGCCCCAGUAACGGCGAGUGAAGCGGCAACAGCUCAAAUUUGAAAUCUGGCCCCCAGGGCCCGAGUUGUAAUUUGCAGAGGAUGCUUUUGGCGCGGUGCCUUCCGAGUUCCCUGGAACGGGACGCCAUAGAGGGUGAGAGCCCCGUCUGGUCGGACGCCUAGCCUGUGUAAAGCUCCUUCGACGAGUCGAGUAGUUUGGGAAUGCUGCUCUAAAUGGGAGGUAUAUGUCUUCUAAAGCUAAAUACCGGCCAGAGACCGAUAGCGCACAAGUAGAGUGAUCGAAAGAUGAAAAGCACUUUGAAAAGAGGGUUAAAUAGUACGUGAAAUUGUUGAAAGGGAAGCGCUUGUGACCAGACUUGGGCCCGGUGGAUCAUCCAGCGUUCUCGCUGGUGCACUCCGCCGGGUUCAGGCCAGCAUCAGUUCGCCGCGGGGGAAAAAGGCUUCGGGAACGUGGCUCCUACGGGAGUGUUAUAGCCCGUUGCAUAAUACCCUGGGGCGGACUGAGGUUCGCGCUCCGCAAGGAUGCUGGCGUAAUGGUCAUCAGCG